UGACUUACCUGGACGGGGUCAAUGGGCAAUCAAGAAGGUCCAUGGCCUAGGUUAGUGACCUCCAUUGCACAGGAGGGGUGCUCACCUAAGAUAUCUCCGAGUGGGAUAGUCUACGUCAUAAUUUGUUGCUGAGGGGGGGUGCGCGUUCGCGGUCCCUGC